UCCUUUGUAGCCGUUAGAUCCAGGGACAAUUUGGUACAUAUGUUUCUAAUUGACUCACACUUAGCUCAUCCAAGUCUAGUUUUAUGGAGGAAAUGUGAUGUCCAAGAAGCUGCUGGGAGGCACUUUUCUUGGAAAAAGGAAGUCAUGUUCUUUUAUUUUAUAGUUUACAAACUGACUUCUAAAGAUUGGCAUUUAUUUCUAAUGUAUGAAAUCACAAAGUUCAAGUACAUUCUAAAUUUGGCAGGACACUCUUCCAUUUCUGAUUAGGAUGAUGUCACAGUAUGAAGCUGUAGGGCAAAGAAACUACAAUACCACUGGACCGAAGAGACAGACACUGCAUUUCCAGGAUUCCUUUCUCUUGAAACUCCCUUCAACUGAGGCCAAAUCACUUGUGCACAGACACGGUCAACCCACAAUGUCAUAUUUUCCGAAUACAGUCAUGUUAUCAGAAAAUCUGCGAGCAACUUGUCCAGCUGAGAGAGUGAGAAUUCAUAACUCACUGUCAAGUCACCGAUGCACUGGGAGAGGCUGAAAUUAAAACUGUGUCUGAAGACAGAUUGACAUUCAAGGCCAAGUUUCUACCAACUCCUACAAUUGAUGACAGAAUUUUACUGGACAGGCUCAUCUGGACAACUUGAAAAAUUAUUUCAUAUCCUGAACUCAAAUGAUUAAUAAGUAUUUUAUUCCUCUCAAUAAAUCACAGACUUAUUGAAGAUAAAUGAACA
rnacentral:lncRNA from 12 species